GAUGAAGAACGCAGCAAAAUACGAUAAGUAAUGUGAAUUGCAGAAUUCAGUGAAUCAUCGAAUCUUUGAACGCACAUUGCGCCCGCCAGUAUUCUGGCGGGCAUGCCUGUUCGAGCGUCAUUUCAACCCUCAAGCACAGCUUGGUGUUGGGACUCGCGUUAAUUCGCGUUCCCCAAAUUGAUUGGCGGUCACGUCGAGCUUCCAUAGCGUAGUAGUAAAACCCUCGUUACUGGUAAUCGUCGCGGCCACGCCGUUAAACCCCAACUUCUGAAUGUUGACCUCGGAUCAGGUAGGAAUACCCGCUGAACUUAAGCAUAUCAAUAAGCGGAGGA
rnacentral:misc_RNA from 1 species